GACGAACGCUGGCGGCGUGCUUAACACAUGCAAGUCGAACGGAAAGGCCCUGCUUUUGUGGUGUGCUCGAGUGGCGAACGGGUGAGUAACACGUGAGUAACCUGCCCUUGACUUUGGGAUAACUUCAGGAAACUGGGGCUAAUACCGGAUAGGAGCUCCUGCUGCAUGGUGGGGGUUGGAAAGUUUCGGCGGUUGGGGAUGGACUCGCGGCUUAUCAGCUUGUUGGUGGGGUAGUGGCUUACCAAGGCUUUGACGGGUAGCCGGCCUGAGAGGGUGACCGGCCACAUUGGGACUGAGAUACGGCCCAGACUCCUACGGGAGGCAGAAGUGGGGAAUAUUGCACAAUGGGCGGAAGCCUGAUGCAGCAACGCCGCGUGAGGGAUGAAGGCCUUAGGGUUGUAAACCGCUUUCGCCUGUGACGAAGCGUGAGUGACGGUAAUGGGUAAAGAAGCACCGGAUAAAUACGUG
rnacentral:rRNA from 1 species